CAGAAAAUAGUUUAAUUAAAAAUAUUAAUUUUGGAGGUUAAUGAUGUAGAUGCACUAUUUUUCUGA
rnacentral:tRNA from 1 species